rnacentral:rRNA from 1 species
AAUCCAUAGGUUAAUGAGGCGAACCGGGGGAACUGAAACAUCUAAGUACCCCGAGGAAAAGAAAUCAACCGAGAUUCCCCCAGUAGCGGCGAGCGAACGGGGAGGAGCCCAGAGCCUGAAUCAGCAUGUGUGUUAGUGGAAGCGUCUGGAAAGGCGCGCGAUACAGGGUGACAGCCCCGUACACAAAAGCGCAUGUGCUGUGAGCUCGAUGAGUAGGGCGGGACACGUGGUAUCCUGUCUGAAUAUGGGGGGACCAUCCUCCAAGGCUAAAUACUCCUGACUGACCGAUAGUGAACCAGUACCGUGAGGGAAAGGCGAAAAGAACCCCGGCGAGGGGAGUGAAAAAGAACCUGAAACCGUGUACGUACAAGCAGUGGGAGCACAGGUUUACCUGUGUGACUGCGUACCUUUUGUAUAAUGGGUCAGCGACUUAUAUUCUGUAGCAAGGUUAACCGAAUAGGGGAGCCGGAGGGAAACCGAGUCUUAAUUGGGCGUUAAGUUGCAGGGUAUAGACCCGAAACCCGGUGAUCUAGCCAUGGGCAGGUUGAAGGUUGGGUAACACUAACUGGAGGACCGAACCGACUAAUGUUGAAAAAUUAGCGGAUGACCUGUGGCUGGGGGUGAAAGGCCAAUCAAACCGGGAGAUAGCUGGUUCUCCCCGAAAGCUAUUUAGGUAGCGCCUCGUGAAUUCAUCUCCGGGGGUAGAGCACUGUUUCGGCUAGGGGGCCAUCCCGGCUUACCAACCCGAUGCAAACUGCGAAUACCGGAGAAUGUUAUCACGGGAGACACACGGCGGGUGCUAACGUCCGUCGUGAAGAGGGAAACAACCCAGACCGCCAGCUAAGGUCCCAAAGUCAUGGUUAAGUGGGAAACGAUGUGGGAAGGCCCAGACAGCCAGGAUGUUGGCUUAGAAGCAGCCAUCAUUUAAAGAAAGCGUAAUAGCUCACUGGUCGAGUCGGCCUGCGCGGAAGAUGUAACGGGGCUAAACCAUGCACCGAAGCUGCGGCAGCGACACUGUGUGUUGUUGGGUAGGGGAGCGUUCU